rnacentral:rRNA from 1 species
UACGAAGGGGGCUAGCGUUGCUCGGAAUCACUGGGCGUAAAGCGCACGUAGGCGGAUCUUUAAGUCAGGGGUGAAAUCCCGGAGCUCAACUCCGGAACUGCCUUUGAUACUGAAGAUCUUGAGUUCGGGAGAGGUGAGUGGAACUGCGAGUGUAGAGGUGAAAUUCGUAGAUAUUCGCAAGAACACCAGUGGCGAAGGCGGCUCACUGGCCCGAUACUGACGCUGAGGUGCGAAAGCGUGGGGAGCAAACAGGG